GGAGUUGUCAUAUAAGGAGAAACCCGUAGCUAUACUUGAUCGCCAGGUUAGAAGGUUACGUACAUAGGAUGUGGCUUCCGUCAAAGUGUUGUGGCAAAAUAAUAAUAGGGAGGAGAUGACUUGGGAAGCGGAAGACGAAAUGAAGAAUAAGUAUCCUUACUUGUUCCCCAUACCUGCAGGUAAUUCAAUUCCUAGAUUGACUAAAUUGAUUAAUAAACGAGAUUAUGUAGUAAGUUAUG
rnacentral:lncRNA from 1 species